rnacentral:rRNA from 1 species
UCCUACGGGAGGCAGCAGUGGGGAGUAUUGGACAAUGGGCGAAAGCCUGAUCCAGCAAUGCCGCGUGAGUGAUGAAGGCCUUAGGGUUGUAAAGCUCUUUUACCCGGGAUGAUAAUGACAGUACCGGGAGAAUAAGCUCCGGCUAACUCCGUGCCAGCAGCCGCGGUAAUA